rnacentral:rRNA from 1 species
UACGGAGGGUGCAAGCGUUAUCCGGAUUCACUGGGUUUAAAGGGUGCGUAGGCGGGCAUUUAAGUCAGUGGUGAAAUACCUGAGCUUAACUUGGGAACUGCCAUUGAUACUAUUUGUCUUGAAUGUCGUGGAGGUUAGCGGAAUAUGUCAUGUAGCGGUGAAAUGCUUAGAUAUGACAUAGAACACCUAUUGCGAAGGCAGCUAACUACGCGAAUAUUGACGCUGAGGCGCGAAAGCGUGGGGAUCAAACAGG